rnacentral:rRNA from 1 species
AUUGAACGCUGGCGGCAGGCCUAACACAUGCAAGUCGAGCGGGGUUUUCGGACCUAGCGGCGGACGGGUGAGUAAUGCGUAGGAAGCUGCCCGAUAGAGGGGGAUACCAGUUGGAAACGACUGUUAAUACCGCAUAAUGUCUACGGACCAAAGUGUGGGACCUUCGGGCCACAUGCUAUCGGAUGCGCCUACGUGGGAUUAGCUAGUUGGUGAGGUAAUGGCUCACCAAGGCGACGAUCUCUAGCUGGUUUGAGAGGAUGAUCAGCCACACUGGAACUGAGACACGGUCCAGACUCCUACGGGAGGCAGCAGUGGGGAAUAUUGGACAAUGGGCGCAAGCCUGAUCCAGCCAUGCCGCGUGUGUGAAGAAGGCCUCGGGUUGUAAAGCACUUUCAGCGAGGAGGAAGGGUGGUGUGUUAUUAGCACAUCAUUUUGACGUUACUCGCAGAAGAAGCACCGGCUAACUCUGUGCCAGCAGCCGCUGUAAAAC